UGGAAAGACAAAAUAAAAAGGGCCGUGUGG
rnacentral:piRNA from 1 species